rnacentral:tRNA from 1 species
GCCAGUGUGGUAUAGUGGUUUAAGUGUAGGACUAUGACUCUAGAGAUCAGGUUUUGAAUCCCUGCUCUGCCA